GCUCUGUUCUUCAUUUUUUUUCUAAAGGACCAACAUCACUGCUUUGCCUUCAGAACUGCUGGGCUAUUCAGGUAAAUGUUUCACGUUCAUCAUGCACAACAACCUCAUAUGGCUUGGGAUGGAAAUGAUGCCCAGUAAUCUACUGAUGAGAGCCUGUGCUGCAAGAGCACAAAAGCAAAUCAUCCACAUGCAAAACUGUCACGGUUGCAGUAGUUUUCUCAAAUGCAGCUUAACCGUAGAUCCAAAAAAAAGCAGAAACCAGCUAUGAUUGUGACCUUCUAACUCCGGAGAUGUAAGAGGGCCUAGACACAUCCUCUUUGACUGUUACCAUGUGGCUGCUAGAAUAAGAAAAAUCAGAAUAAACAGAAAUUAACAUUUGUACAACCAAUGUAAAUAUGCAUUUUCUUUUCAACUUUUCAACUAUACAGCCAAUUCAGCAAAACUUUCAUUUUCUAAACCUUGUUGAAAUAACCUGGACUUAAGUAUAUGAGUUUAAAGUUAAGUAUUUGUUCUCUAAUAUUUGUCUAGGAGCUGCUAAGGAUUGGAUUUUGCCAAGUAGCUUAGCAUAUAAUAUGCAUGUGUUACCGAAUUCAUCUCAAAUUCUCUGAUAAUUAAGCACCUAUUUUCAGUUUUUUUCAUUUAUAUUAGAACUAUGGGAUCUUCCCAGAUGCAUACUCCAGCCACUUCCAGAAGCACUCAAAAUAAGGUCCAUGCACAUAUAAAUGCCCUUCUGCAGUUAGGACAACAAAAAUGCAAUACGUACCUUGUAUCUCGGCAUACCCCAGAACAUAAGUCCCUUAAAUUAGAUUUGUCUCUGGACACCUAUUGAACAGACAAGGCUCUGUCUUUCUCCAUUGGUAAUAGAGAAAAACUUCAAUCAUGAUGGGUAGGUAAGAUUCACUGUGUGGGAGAACAGACUUUUAGAGCUAGUUUAAAGAAUAAAGGGUUCGGAAACUUCUUAUAUAUGGCUCAGAAAUUACUAUAUCCUAUAUUUUAAAAUUGGAAACUACAUUAUGCUACAUUACAACCACUCUGUAUUUUUCCUGUUUAGAUGAAGAGACUCGGGAGCCCAAUUGAGACUGUUUUUGUUUUGCUAAGCCAGUCCUGAUGUGUUUGUACAGUCCGGACUGUGCAGAGAUUAAGACAGAUAACCAUAUACAUAUAUCUACAUCUAUAACACUUAUUAUUUGUCAUAUAAGACCUAUUCAGACAGAUUUGCAUCUCAGUUAUUUUGCUGUAUGGUAGGUAUGUGUUUCCUUUUAGAUUCUGUUCUAUGCAGUAAAAGCAAAAAUUAGUUCAUCAAGUCAGUCACUGAAUGGAAGUGUGAGCUUAUCAUUUCAUUUUUUUUUUUCCUACAUAGUUUCCACACACUGAGAUGGUUGUGUAUGUUCUUUGGCC
ensembl:lncRNA